rnacentral:rRNA from 1 species
UAGGGGGCAAGCGUUAUCCGGAUUUACUGGGUGUAAAGGGAGCGCAGACGGCAAGGCACGCCUGGAGUGACAGGCGGGGGCCCAACCCCCGGACUGCUCUGGGAACUGUCUGGCUGGAGUGCAGGAGGGGUAAGCGGAAUUCCUGGUGUAGCGGUGAAAUGCGUAGAUAUCAGGAGGAACACCGGUGGCGAAGGCGGCUUACUGGACUGCAACUGACGUUGAGGCUCGAAAGCGUGGGGAGCAA